rnacentral:tRNA from 1 species
GGAGAGGUGCCCGAGUGGUUGAAGGGGACGGUCUCGAAAACCGUUAUCCUGGGCAACCGGGAUCGUGGGUUCGAAUCCCACCCUCUCCG